AGUAACGGCGAGUGAACAGGGAGAAGCCCAAAUUUGUAAUCUGGCACUUUUUACAAGUGUCCGAGUUGUAAUUUGUAGAACUGUUAUCCGUACUGGACCAUGUACAAGUCUGUUGAAAAGCAGCAUCAUUGAAGGUGAAAAUCCUGUAGAUGAUAUGGACUACCAGUAUAUUUGUGAUACGGUUUCUAAGAGUCGAGUUGUUUGGGAAUGCAGCUCAAAGUGGGUGGUAAAUUCCAUCUAAGGCUAAAUAUAAGUGAGAGACCGAUAGCAAACAAGUACCGUGAGGGAAAGAUGAAAAGAACUUUGAAAAUAGAGUUAACAGUACGUGAAAUUGCUGAAAGGGAAACGUUUGAAGUUAGUUUUGUAUUCGUUGGAUCAGCUUCGCAAGGAGUGUAUUCCGAUGAUAAGCAAGUCAACAUCAAUCUAUGAGUAUUGGAAAAAUGUUUUGAGAAUGUAGCAAUUUAAUUGUGUUAUAGAUCGAGACUUGACUACAAUGCUUUGGAUUGAGGAACGCGUAGUAAGCUAAGCUUUGUGCGGAUUCGAAAGGAUCUCCUUACUAUGGAUGUUGGUGAAAUAACUUUAAGCGACCCGUCUU
rnacentral:rRNA from 1 species